AAAUUGAAGAGUUUGAUCAUGGCUCAGAUUGAACGCUGGCGGCAGGCCUAACACAUGCAAGUCGAACGGUAGCACAGAGAGCUUGCUCUCGGGUGACGAGUGGCGGACGGGUGAGUAAUGUCUGGGAAACUGCCCGAUGGAGGGGGAUAACUACUGGAAACGGUAGCUAAUACCGCAUAACGUCGCAAGACCAAAGUGGGGGACCUUCGGGCCUCACACCAUCGGAUGUGCCCAGAUGGGAUUAGCUAGUAGGUGGGGUAACGGCUCACCUAGGCGACGAUCCCUAGCUGGUCUGAGAGGAUGACCAGCCACACUGGAACUGAGACACGGUCCAGACUCCUACGGGAGGCAGCAGUGGGGAAUAUUGCACAAUGGGCGCAAGCCUGAUGCAGCCAUGCCGCGUGUAUGAAGAAGGCCUUCGGGUUGUAAAGUACUUUCAGCGAGGAGGAAGGCGUUGUGGUUAAUAACCACAGCGAUUGACGUUACUCGCAGAAGAAGCACCGGCUAACUCCGUGCCAGCAGCCGCGGUAAUACGGAGGGUGCAAGCGUUAAUCGGAAUUACUGGGCGUAAAGCGCACGCAGGCGGUUUGUUAAGUCAGAUGUGAAAUCCCCGGGCUCAACCUGGGAACUGCAUUUGAAACUGGCAAGCUUGAGUCUCGUAGAGGGGGGUAGAAUUCCAGGUGUAGCGGUGAAAUGCGUAGAGAUCUGGAGGAAUACCGGUGGCGAAGGCGGCCCCCUGGACAAAGACUGACGCUCAGGUGCGAAAGCGUGGGGAGCAAACAGGAUUAGAUACCCUGGUAGUCCACGCCGUAAACGAUGUCUACUUGGAGGUUGUGCCCUUGAGGCGUGGCUUCCGGAGCUAACGCGUUAAGUAGACCGCCUGGGGAGUACGGCCGCAAGGUUAAAACUCAAAUGAAUUGACGGGGGCCCGCACAAGCGGUGGAGCAUGUGGUUUAAUUCGAUGCAACGCGAAGAACCUUACCUGGUCUUGACAUCCACGGAAGUUUUCAGAGAUGAGAAUGUGCCUUCGGGAACCGUGAGACAGGUGCUGCAUGGCUGUCGUCAGCUCGUGUUGUGAAAUGUUGGGUUAAGUCCCGCAACGAGCGCAACCCUUAU
rnacentral:rRNA from 1 species